rnacentral:rRNA from 1 species
CCUACGGGUGGCUGCAGUAAGGAAUAUUGGUCAAUGGAGGAAACUCUGAACCAGCCAUCCCGCGUGAAGGAUGAAGGGGCUCUGCCUUGUAAACUUCUUUUGUCUGGGGCGAAAAAGCUCGAUUUAUCGAGAACUGACGGUACCAGAAGAAUAAGCACCGGCUAACUCCGUGCCCGCAGCCGCGGUAAUACGGAGGGUGCAAGCAUUAUCGGGAAUCACUGGGUUGGAGGGGUGCUAAGGCGUCAGUGGAGAAAGGCUGUGGCUUAACCAUGAAAUUGCCAUUGAUACUGCAGAGCGUGAAUGAGGUUGAGGUUGGCGGAAUGUGACAUGUAGCGGUGAAAUGCUUAGAUAUGUCAUGGAACACCGAUUGCGAAGGCAGCUGACUGGACCUAUAUUGACGCUGAGGCACGAAAGCGUGGGGAGCGAACAGGAUUAGAUACCCCAGUAGUC